rnacentral:rRNA from 1 species
UCUGGUUGAUCUUGCCAGUAGUCAUAAGCCUGUCUCAGAGAUUAGGCCAUGAAUGUCGACAUACAUAUCUUUAAACGGUGAAACCUCGAAUAGUCCGCCAAAUCAGCUGAAGUUCCUUGGAUGGUACACACUACGGGGAUAACUGCAGCAGUUUUAGAGCUAAUACAUGCCACUACGCCCUGGCCCUCGAGGGAAAGGGGGAGUUUAUUAGAACAGAACCAUCCGAGGGUGGCUUUGGUCGUCCCUGAUGCAUUCUGUGAUGAGUCUAGAUAACUUCGCUGAUCGUAAUCUUCUUUGUGUCGGCGACGAACCUUUCAAAUGUCUGCUCCAUCAGUUUUCGAUGGCAGGUGACCUGCCUACCAUGGUACUAACGGGUAACGGGGAAUCAGUGUUCCAUUCCGGGGAGAGAGCCUGAGAAACGGCUUGCACUUUCAAGGAAGGCGGCAGGCCCACAAAUUACUCUAUCCAGCACGGAGAGGUGGUGAAGCAAAAUGCGGACAAGGGGCUAGCUAGAGGGUCCUUAAUUCGAAUGAGUACAACUUAAAUCCUUCAAUGAGGAUCAACUGGAGGGUUAGUCCGGUGCCAGCAGCCGCGGUAACUGAAGCUCCGGAAGCGUGUGAUAAAGUUGUUGUAGUCAAAAAGCUCCCAGUUGAAUCUAUGUUGCAUGGCUACAUGCCUUCGCUCGUGAGUUUUGAAGGGUUACUGCCGGGUUGAGCAUGCGAGUCGAUCUCGCAGUUGUGCUUCCUUUCUGUUGUGUCUGUUUACAGGUGUCAGCGUGACUGGUGGGCUUGCCUGCUAGUCUGUUGGCAUGCUUCUUGGUGCCUUUAAUCGGGUGUCGGAGGCGGACAGCACGUUUACUUUGAACAAAUUUGAGUGCUCAAAGCAGGCCUUUGUGCCUGAAAAUUCUUGCAUGGAAUAAUGGAAUAGGACUUCGGUUCUAUUUUGUUGGUUUUCGGAUCCGAAGUAAUGGUUAAGAGGGACAGACGGGGGCAUUUGUAUGGCGGUGUUAGAGGUGAAAUUCUUGGAUCGCCGCCAGACAAACUACAGCGAAAGCAUUUGCCAAGGAUGUUUUCAUUGAUCUUGAGCGAAAGUCAGAGGUUCGAAGACGAUCAGAUACCGUCCUAGUUCUGACCAUAAACGAUGCCAACUGACGAUCCGUGGUGGUUCUUUAUGUGUCNGAACUAGGAGGUAGUGACGAAAAAUACGGAUACGGGACUCACUAGAGGCUCCGUAAUUCGAAUGAGUACAAUUUAAAUCCUUUAACGAGGAUCAACUGGAGGGCAAGUCUGGUGCCAGCAGCCGCGGUAACUCCAGCUCCAGAAGCGUAUAUUAAAGUUGUUGCAGUUAAAAAGCUCGUAGUUGGAUCUGGGUCGCAUGGCUACAUGCCGUCGCUCGUGGGUCUGGCCUGGUUACUGCCGGGUUGAGCUUGCGAGUCGGUCUCGUGGUUGUGCUUCCUUUCUGCUGUGUCUGUUUACAGGUGUCAGCGUGACUGGUGGGCUUGCCUGCUAGUCUGUUGGCAUGCUUCUUGGUGCCUUUAAUCGGGUGUCGGAGGCGGACAGCACGUUUACUUUGAACAAAUUUGAGUGCUCAAAGCAGGCCUUUGUGCCUGAAAAUUCUUGCAUGGAAUAAUGAAAUGGGACUCUGGUUCUGUUUUGUUGGGUUUUGGAUCCGAAGUAGUGGCUAAGGGGGAUAGACUGAGGGAUUUGUAUGGCGGUGUCAGAGGUGAAAUUCUCGGAUCGUUACCAGACAUACUACGGUGAAAGUGUUUGCCGAAGAUAUUUUCAUUGAUCUUGAGCGAAAGUGAGAAGUUCGAAGGCGAUCAGAUGCCCCCCUAGUUGUGGCCAUAAAUGAAGCCAACUGACCAUCCGCGGUGGUUCCUUUUGUGUCCUCAAAGGCAGUCCCCGGGAGACCCUCAAGUCUUUGGGCUCCUGGGGAAGUACGAUUGCAAAGCUGAAACUUAAAGAAACUGACGGGAGGGCAUCACCAGGAGUAGAGCCUGCGGCUUAAUUCGACUCAACGCGAGAAAACUCAACCGGGUCGGACACUGUGAGGACUGACAGAUUGACAGGUCUUUUUGAUUCGAUGGUUGAUGGUACAUGGCCGUUCUUAGUUCGUGGAGCGAUUUGUCUGGUUAAUUCCGAUAACGAACGAGAUUCUGGCCCGCUAAAUAGUAUGCCUGUCCUCUGUGCUCGCGCAGGUUGCAUCGUCCAUUGCCUCCUCGUGGGGUAGUGGUUACGCUGGCCGGCGGGCGCUGCGCAUGUACUCACUUCUUAGGAAAACAAGCGGCAUUCAGUCUCACGAAAUUGAAAAAUAACAGACCUGUAGAGCACUUAGAUGUCCGGGGCCGCUUGUGCGCUACCACGACGCUUUCGGCAAGUUUGGAAUCCUGGCCUAAGCAGGUUGGGUAAACUGUAUCACAACCGUCGUGGCUGGGAUCGGAGCUAACAGUCGUUCCCCGUGAACGGGGAAUUCCUGGUGAAUGCAAGUCAUAAUCUUGCUCUAAUUACUUCCCUGCCCCUUGUACACACCACCCGUCGCUACUACCGAUUGGAUGGUUUAACAAGGUUCUCGGAUUGGUGCCUUUGUAGCGGCCCGGUCGCUCGACCGGUGCUGAGGAGACGACCAAACUUGAUCACUUAGAGGAAGUAAACGUCGUAACAAGGUCUCCGUAGGUUAACCUGUGGAAG